rnacentral:lncRNA from 1 species
CUGCACAGCACUGGCUGACAACUGCUGUCCAGCGCGCUCCACGCCUGACUGUGAGGGGGAAUCGCUUGGGAGCACCCGUCACAUGCCCAGAGAUUGCCUUCCGAGGCUUUCUGGAGUACCGUGUGCCGUGUGCCGCAGGGAGGCUCAGGGCUCCUCCUUUAUUCUAGCCUGUUUCCAGCAACCCCCAGGGCAACGUCCUGACUCUUCUGUGUGCGUCUGCAGAGCUCUCCUCCUGCGGCUUCCUGCAUCUGCAAGCUUGUUCUGAAGGCCGAGAGGUCUAAGUGCGUCACCGUGUGCAUGGUCCUUUAACCCUUCGUGUCCUGCGCCGGGAUUGAAGCCUGAGAAGGAAGGCAAAUCAAACGGAUACAACAGCUGGCAUAAGCAAUGAUAAUCAUAAAAGAGGACUUCCAGAACUGCUUCAGAAAGUGGCAAAGAAGACGGAGGAGCUUGAAGUGUGUGUUGGGGUUAAAACAUCUGAAAGCCCAUGUUUGCAGUACAUGCUCCGUGCCAUGUGAAAGUGUUCCCAGCACAUGCUCCAUGCUGCCGUACCUCUGGAAGGCUUGGUUCUGGUUCCCAACCCCUCCUCUACCUCAUCCCACCCCACACUCACAGAAGUGCUUCUCUUGGAGGCUCCGUUUCACUCAGCCGGCCGGGCAAAGCCAUCACCCUUCAGUGCCUGCUGCCACGAGUCCAGCCCCAGGGUGCUCUCGGGUCCUCUGUGCUUAUCUGCAUGAUCUACUCACCACACCCGACUUGUUACCGCCUUGUCCCUGUUGGUGAACAUGUCUCACCAAGAGGCUGAGUUCCAAGUGCAGGAAAGUGUCUCUUCAUUUGUAAAAUAAGAACCUCUUUGUCUACCUCACAGAGUUCCAGUGAAGAACAAGUGAGUUCAUGCAUGUAAAGCAAUCAGAACAAUGCUUUGACACAUAAUAAAUACC